rnacentral:lncRNA from 1 species
AGAUAGGCCAAGAAGCUUUUACUCUUCUUGAUGAAUUCCAUGGAAAAAAUACAAGGCCUAGUAUUAAAACAACCAAUAAAAAUUACCUUUAUUAUAACCAAUAUCAACCCCAGAAGUCUCACCUUGUUCAAUUCAAACCAAUUGAAGAGAGAGUCAUGAAUAGUUAUGAAGCUGUUAAGUUAUAUGGAGGGGUUCUUGUUUGUGAUUAUUCCAAGAGAAAACCAAAAGUUAUGACUUAUUACUAAGU